rnacentral:lncRNA from 1 species
CUAAUAGUGCCACUCCCUGGGCCAAGCAUUUCAAAUGACCACACCUUCCAGGACAUCCCUCAGCCCCAGCACACAGAGAUGGUUUGCCUUUACACGUGGAGACCCCGGAAGAAAAGCCAAUGGUGAUAGGGGCAGAGUGGAUGAGCUUCACAAGAGUGUCCUCACACCCGAGGUGCUGCGAAGUCCUCUGGGUGUCAGCGCACAGCAGGGAGGUGGCAAACAGGGAGGAAGUGACAGAUUGUGCCCUUUGUUCUCAGAGCAUCCUUGGAGUAUCCACAGAAAGGAGCUGGUUUCUUCUUCUCUGGAGUGUGAAAGAUUCCUUUGAGAAACCACCAAACCUGCACAUUCUCUGGGGUGCCCUGCCAGGCAGCGGCCCUUCUGGGCUAUGGCAUCUUUCAUUUCCCACAAGAUAAUGACAGUGGACUGUGACUGAGCUGUUCUCAGCAGUUCUCACUGGGACUCAGAGUAAAGAUAAGUGAUGUUUGAUUACAGCACAGCAAACAUGGAAUAGUCCCCACGUGUCGGUUGGAGAGCUCAUGUCCCCAGCCUGCUGAUUAGUGCUGCAGCUAAAGAGAGAGACAUGAGUCCUUUAUAACCUAAGGCAAAAUAUGAAGCUAGGACUGGAUGUUGUUGUCAACAUUAACCCCGGCCUAAGCACAAGCUAUGAGAUGGGGCCGAGCAGCAUACGUGACCCUCACACCUGAAUUUCAAAUGCUCAUCCCUAACCAAAGAGUCAGAGAUUCAUGGCUAAUGGACAACUCCAAGACAGGGGCAGAACACUACAAGCUGUUUGGUGUAUCCUGUAGUGUCAUGAAGUGAAGAUCUUCUAAAGAAAGACUAGAAAUCAUAAAGUACAGCUGUUCAAGUCAGAGGCAGGAGAGAGAGAGAGAGAGAGACAGAGACAGAGACACAGAGAGAGAGAGAGAGAGACAGAAAGAGAGAGAGAAAAGAGAGAGAGAGCACAGAGGCUGAAGCUGCAGUAAUCGAAGCACCUAUCUAGUAAAGCAGUGGCAGUACCAAACUGAGGCGAAGAGCAGCCAUUGGCACAGCCAUGCUGAUGCCCAUGACGCAAGAAAUGUCGGGGAGAGGAUGGGACGCUCAGGUGACCUCCAAAA